CCGUAGAACUGAAGGCGCCCGAGAGCGCAGGGCCGCAGCACAGCAGCGUGACGGUCGCCGCAGCUUCUGCCGCGACGCUGCCCUGCCAUGCGCCGGCCAACCCACCGCCCUCCUUCAUUUGGUACAAGGACCAAACGCUGGUGGCUCACGUGAAGCCGCGUGAGCACUCGUACGUCGUCGGCGGGUUCCUCGUCAUCCCUGGCGUGGGUGUUGACGAUGCUGGGGACUAUCGCUGCGUGGUGAACAACUCCGUCGGCGUCACCACCCUCACGACACACCUCGAGGUCACCACACCCCUGAAAGUUCAGAUAACACCGGAAGUAACAGAGGUGACUGCUGGCGGAGUUCUGGAACUGCGCUGUACAGUCACUGGCUUCCCAGUAUAUGACGUACUGUGGUACAAAGACGCCAAUCCA